CGGCGUUAUGUAUGUAAAUGAACCGGGUAACGUUCGUGACGCCCGUUUGUGGAAUCACGCGAGUGAGGUUGUUGCAGCAACCAACAACGCUCACAUCCUGGGCGGGCGGUGCUGCUGCUGCUGUUCCUGUUACUACACGCCCCCAUAUUCUGCCCAAGUGCUCUGAUGGCCCAUCAUUCAAGUGAACAGCUGCAGGGGAGGAAGGCUGUAAAGGUCCUGUCCUGGAAAAGUCCCUGCUGGACAUCUGGAGGAGAGGGGUCUCCUGAUGAAAAAAAUAUGAAGUUAGGGAGAUCUAGACCUCUUUUCACAGUCCUGAAGAGGAAACCCUGCUGGCCAGCCAGAAGCAAUUCAUGUCAUAUUGACCUCUUUUGUGCAUGAUUAAAAAUACAUGUUUAAUGGCCAAAAGGAUAACUCUUCUGACAGAUGAAAUAUCUCUGAGAUCAAAAUGACCCUUUGUAACCUUUUAUAGUCCAACUUUCUGCAGAGUGUGAGACUUUUUAGAUGAUGCAUGGACACAAUAUAGAUCAAGUAUGUUUAGUGAGAUAUGCCAACCAAUGUAGCAGGCACCAUCAUACCCACAAAUAAUAUUUUUCUAUUUAUGCUUGGGUCGAACUUUAAUACCUUUUCAGUACCGAGCAAAAUAUGUCCAUAGCACAUAGUAACUUUAGUCUUAUUUAGUAAUUCUUUGAUAACAUCCUGAUUUUGUAUUGUAAUAUUUGCUGAUUAUUGACUGUUUUUAGGCAAAGUUUUUCUUGUGUUGAGACGACAUUAAGCAUUUUGUUACGCGGAAAUUGUCCUCAAAGUAAGAAAUAUGUUGGUGCCGAAACUUUUGAAUCGAAUUGGGUCCAUUAUUGAAACAUUUAAAAUCAUACCAAGUCCGAUUUCUACGUUGAGUUUCACUGAGCUUACAUCAUCACCCACCAAAUGAAUCACUCAGGAGAAUGGCUUUCAAAAAAUCUUGCAGUACCAGAUUUCAUAGAAGAUGACAAGCUCAGAUACAAGAGUACAAUACAAUACAAUAUUGCCUAAUAUGUCCUUGAGGACAUACAUCACCACUGCACACAACGUCACAAUCUGAAGCUCAGUUAGCAGUGACAUAGCACUGGGUUUGUUUUGUACAAAAAAUGAUUCCAAGGGAGAAUUAUCAGCACAUCAGUGUAGCACUGUAAACUACACAAUCCCUCUGUACUCAGGCAGGCGCAUUCCUUUUAAAUUACUGUUUGUUUAUUGGCGUUUACAACCACACUUCACUGAAAGGCUUGAGACAAAAGAGUGCACUCUCUUAAAAUAAUAAAUCUGCCAGUUAUUGAAGCAGGCAAGACCUACCUUGACUUUUAAAGCAGCCACAUAUGUAAUAGUCAGCGCCGCCGCUCCCACCACGCGCAUCACGCACUGUGCGUAGGGCACCAAGUGCUGAGGGGGCACCAAAAAUAGCCUAAUGAAUUUUUUUUUUUAAAUGCCGGUAUUAUUUAAUUAGCCUAUAGAAAUAUUAGGCACAUUUUAGCCAUGUAUAUGUAACAAAAAAGGUGGAACAAGAAAGAUAUUUAACAAUUGCUCUAGUCUAGUCCCCCCCCCGCCCGUGCUGGAUGGUCCGUUCCGGUUGUUCGCGCGGGCGCCUGCCUGACGCAGUUUGACAGAUUUGAGCAUGGCUCCGAAAAGACAGCAGGAGUCGGGUGCUGAGAAACGAAAGAAGAAGAAACUGCGAGAUGAUGCCCGUGCAUCACUUUCAGGUAAGUCCAUGUUUAAUCAUUCAUAAAUACGGGAAAUGUGCUGCAUGUGCGUGCUGCUGCUAAUCGUAAUGCGCCUCGAACUUGCUGACGGUAAUGUUAGCAUUAGCAAACUAUGUUAUUAUAACUUACAACUUCGGUGCAAGCUAAAUUGAGAUUUUACGGUUAAACAUUACCUAUUUUAAAAAUAACUGACCUGACACCAACUAGCUGUUACUUUUUUUUUUUUUACUAUCUUUCUUUAGAUAUUGAGCAGUAGUUUAUGGUUUAUUUUGACGUGACGGUGGUUAAUACUUUCUCAGUAACGUUAACAGUUAGCAGUCAGUGCAGUGCACAUGGUAGGCUAACAAUUCCUGUUAUGUAUAUAUAUAUAUAAAAUAUAAAAUGUCAUUAUGAAUUAUAUAAAGCAAACAUUACUGUUGAUUUGUGUGCAUUAUCGCACCUCAUUCUAUUAUGCUUUAUAUUAGAGUAGAUUUAGAUUUACAUUUAUUUAUUCAUUUAGCAGAUGCUUUUAUCUAAAGCGACUUACAAAUGAGAACAAUAGAAGCAGUUAAACUAACAGUAGGACAACAAUAUGCAAGUGCUAUGCCUAUGACCCUUCUCAGUUUAAUCUAACGCAGAAUUUUUUUUAUUGUUUUUAUUUUUAAUAAUAGAUAAAUAAGGAAUAAAGGGGGAGAACUGCUUGGCUGCCAUGCUUUCAGUUAUAAAUGUUUAUUAUAUUUUUCUGGUAUAAGAGUCUUUGUUUGAAUAUUUUGUCUCUUUCUAUACUGAUCCUUUUUCUUCGUAUUUCUAAAUUAUUGCAGGGGCAAUGCUGAGAUACGUCAUUUAGGAGGAGCAGACUGAAGACAAGAAGACUGACUAUUCUUGUUUGUACUUAUUGAUGAUUAUUUAAUUUAAUUUAUUCAAAGUGACAUUGAAUUUGCAAAAAAAAAGUCUGGAUUAUUUUGAUAUUUUUUUAUUUUGCUAUUCUGUUUACUGUUUACAAAGUCAGCAAAGCUGUGAAGAUUUUACUUUCUCUUUUUAGUGUUCUUAAGUUUUAUACUGUGAUGCUGCUAUUGUGUGUUAUUGGUAUUGAGUUAUGUUUGGUAAUAAAAAGUUAAACUGGCAAAAA